UGCGCGUCGUCCAUGACGAAGCGAUGCGGACGCCGGAUUCCCUCCAAGGUCUUGCUCAUGGUCUUGCUGUCAACAUUCACCCAGCGUGCGGCGCCCGGCGCCAAGAAGUUUCUGUUGCACGUUCGGUCGGUACAAAAAAGGCCUCCCAGAAACACAAAUUCUCCGCUGGCGCGAGAGAGAAAUUGUCAGGAGCGAAAGGAGGCGACGGCAAACGCGCUUCAAGUGUGGGAUCGUACCACUGAAUUCUUUUUCCAGUCAGGGUCAUCAGCCCUGGCCACCGUCUAGAUUUGAGUUUGGGCUCACCGUAGUCCAGCUCCGAGGCAGGCCACCGGGUGCUGGUCCAGAAGUAAGGGGUCUGCAGAUGACAAGAUGUCCCAAGUCUUGAUUGGAGGUUCAUCCAAUUCCGGUUUUGGGCGGAGCAAAGCGUGGAGAGUUUUUGGAUACCUGGAAGC